rnacentral:pre_miRNA from 1 species
GAGACAAUCUUAUGGAGCAGGACUUGCUUCAGUGGGGCUUUGGUGCUCACUGAGUCUGCCCCCUGAGUCCCUCGCU